rnacentral:rRNA from 1 species
UCGCAGUGUAAACCCCUUUCGACCGCGACGAAUACCUCGCAAGAGGGGUGACGGUACCGGUAUAAGAAGCCCCGGCUAACUACGUGCCAGCAGCCGCGGUAAGACGUAACGGGGCCAGCGUUGCUCGGAAUUACUGGGUGUAAAGGGUUCGUAGGCGGUGUGGCAAGUCGGGAGUGAAAUCUCUGGGCUCAACCCAGGGGCUGCUUCCGAAACUGCCGUGCUAGAGUGUGGGAGAGGCGCGUGGAAUUGCAGGUGUAGCGGUGAAAUGCGUAGAUUUCUGCAGGAACACCCGUGGCGAAAGCGGCGCGCUGGACCACUACUGACGCUGAGGAAUGAAAGCUAGGGGAGCAAACAGGAUUAGAUACCCUGGUAGUCCUAGCCCUAAACGAUCAGGACUUGGGGUGCCACCCGUUCGGGUGUCGUCCCGGAGCUAACGCGUUAAGUCCUGCACCUGGGGAGUACGGUCGCAAGACUGAAUCUCC